ensembl:lncRNA
UUAUUUUAAAUAGUAAAAAUAUUUCACAAUAUUACUGCUUUAGCAAAUGCAACUUUCUGUAUUUUGGAUCAAAUAAAUGCAGGCACAUGUGUCAUGUUGAAAUAUAUAAAUGAACGUCACAUACCUGGCAUUUCCAAAAUGUAUAUUGUUUAUGUGCUCUAAAGGACAUACUUUUUUGAAGAGACUUUGAAGAGAUGGGAGUGUGUGCCUCGCUUGGUCUUAGCUGUGUUCCAGGUUCCUGAGUGAGGCGCUUAUUUGCAUUGGCUCGCUUUGCAACAGGUGCAUUGUGUCAGAGGUCAAUCCGGCACUUCUUCUGUGAAAGAGGGGAUUGGAGAAGUUGGUGUCCAGCACCAGGAGGUGUCACCCCCUGUGUUCUCAACAGACCUUACCAGUGAGACCGAAUCGAGAUCAGCGUGUCAGUCAUCCAGAGCCGUGCCAAACGACUCUGCUUGUGAGUGUACAAUCCAUAAGCUGGUUUUUGAAUUGGUGAGAAUUGACAAAUGCUGGAUAUGCCAUUCACCUUUGACAUCUGUCAGAUGGCACGGUGUAAGAUGCAAACGUAAGUGUGUUAUUCAUCUUCUUUUAAUUAAUGCAUUUCUCAGUAUACCAUAAGUAGUUUAAUUUCAUGCCAUGGGUCAGUUCCAGACUCACUCCUAUAAAGCAUAAAAACAUGUUUCUUGAAUGUUUUAUCAGUUCAAACCAUUGCGGUGAAAAACACUGAAGUGGCAGAUACUAUGACAUACCACGCAUAUGAGUUUGCAAG